rnacentral:rRNA from 1 species
GACGAACGCUGGCGGCGUGCCUAAUACAUGCAAGUUGAGCGCUGAAGGUUGGUACUUGUACCAACUGGAUGAGCAGCGAACGGGUGAGUAACGCGUGGGGAAUCUGCCUUUGAGCAGGGGACAACAUUUGGAAACGAAUGCUAAUACCGCAUAAAAACUUUAAACACAAGUUUUAAGUUUGAAAGAUGCAAUUGCAUCACUCAAAGAUGAUCCCGCGUUGUAUUAGCUAGUUGGUGAGGUAAAGGCUCACCAAGGCGAUGAUACAUAGCCGACCUGAGAGGGUGAUCGGCCACAUUGGGACUGAGACACGGCCCAAACUCCUACGGGAGGCAGCAGUAGGGAAGCUUCGGCAAUGGACGAAAGUCUGACCGAGCAACGCCGCGUGAGUGAAGAAGGUUUUCGGAUCGUAAAACUCUGUUGGUAGAGAAGAACGUUGGUGAGAGUGGAAAGCUCACCAAGUGACGGUAACUACCCAGAAAGGGACGGCUAACUACGUG